AUUGAACGCUGGCGGCAUGCUUUACACAUGCAAGUCGAACGGCAGCAUGACCAAGCUUGCUUGGUUGAUGGCGAGUGGCGAACGGGUGAGUAAUACAUCGGAACGUGCCCUGUAGUGGGGGAUAACCUACCGAAAGGUAGGCUAAUACCGCAUACGACCGGAGGGUAAAAGUGGGGGACCGCAAGGCCUCACGCUAUAGGAGCGGCAGGUGGAAGAUUAGCUAGUUGGUAGGGUAAGGGCUCACGAAGGCGACGAUCUUUAGCGGGGCGUAGAGGACGAUCCGCCACACUGGGACUGAGACACGGCCCAGACUCCUACGGGAGGCAGCAGUGGGGAAUUUUGGACAAUGGGGGCAACCCUGAUCCAGCAAUGCCGCGUGAGUGAAGAAGGCCUUCGGGUUGUAAAGCUCUUUUGUUUGGGAAGAAAAGUCUGGUGCUAAUACCACUGGAUGCUGACGGUACCAAAAGAAUAAGCACCGGCUAACUACGUGCCAGCCGCCGCCGUAA
rnacentral:rRNA from 1 species